CCUCGUUAGUAUAGUGGUCAGUAUCCCCGCCUGUCACGCGGGAGACCGGGGUUCAAUUCCCCGAAGUAGAGGG
rnacentral:tRNA from 1 species